rnacentral:tRNA from 1 species
CAAAGUAAAGCUAAACUAGUGUAGCGUCUCAGUUACAUUGAGAAGAAUUGUCGUGCAAGUCGACUUGUUUUGA